rnacentral:piRNA from 1 species
UAUUCAUGAGGCACUCUAGGGACAAGGGGG